rnacentral:rRNA from 1 species
AACGAACGCUGGCGGCAUGCCUAACACAUGCAAGUCGAACGAGACCUUCGGGUCUAGUGGCGCACGGGUGCGUAACGUGUGGGAACCUGCCCUUAGGUUCGGAAUAACUCCCCGAAAGGGGUGCUAAUACCGGAUAAUGUCUUCGGACCAAAGAUUUAACGCCAUGGGAUAGGCCCACGCUCGCUUAGCUAGUUGGUAGGGUAAACGCCUACCAAGGCGACGAUCCAUAGCUGGUCUGAAAGGAUGAUCAGCCACACUGGGACUGAGACACGGCCCAGACUCCUACGGGAGGCAGCAGCAGGGAAUAUUGGACAGUGAGCAAAAGCCUGAUCCAGCAAUGCCACAUGAGUGAUGAAGGCCUUAGGGUUGUAAAGCUGUUUUACCCGGGAUGAUAAUGACAGUACCGGGAGAAUGAGCUCCGGCGAACUCCGUG